ensembl:lncRNA
CCCGCAGUGUAUUAAACAGCACGUGAACAGGCAGCAGCAGAGCGCGUGGCAGUGCAUUGUUAUUAUUAUUAUUAUUAUUAUUAUUAUUAUUAUUAUUAUUAUUAUUACACACUGCGGUGAGGGAAGAACAGUCAGUGGAUUUGGGAGAUGAAGAUUUAUGGAGUAUUUCUUCAGUUUUAACUCUCUGGACAUUUUCUUGGUUAAUUCGGCGACAUGAACUCCAGUGGAUUAUCAGACCAAGAGAUCACAGCUCUCUCUUCCGUGUAUGUCUCCUGUCUCAGUUUAAGUUUAAUUGGGAGCUGCUCUGUUUUCAU